UGAAAAUUUGAUGUGAUCUUUUCAAAUUCUGAAACCAGCUGAGAGAAAAACCACAUUUAUGGCGUCAAACAAGAUGUGAAAUGAUGAAGCCCUUUCCUCUUCCAGGGGCCACUGUAGAGACUAGAUAGUUCGAUCCAGGGACAAAACGGAUUACUGUAACCCAUGUCACAGUUUCAUUAUUAAUGACAGGUGACAUGGAAUGUAGUCUUCCAUGUACUAACUGAUGCUCAAAAUUUCUAUGCCACGAAGCAUUGGUUCAGUUUCUCAAGAAAGACCUACAGAGAAUCAUUUGUCAAUGUCAUUGACAAUGAGCAUAUUAUUGGAGAAUUAGCGCAUUCAACAAUUAUAUACCUGAAGAAUUCUUUAUUAUUAGCAGUAGUUUAGAGCGGCCUACUGAGAAGUAUAGAAUGGUGUAUUUAUCAGUGCUUAGUUACUCAUGUUUCUUUAUUCCUGAAAUACUUGAUAUAAGAGAUAAGGUGAAUGCCGCUGUCAAGUUUUAAAGAAGGUGAUUGUGUUAGAUGAUGAUGUGAUUUCAGUGUGAUCUCUCUUACUUGUGGAAUCUUGAUGUGGGAGAUAAGGUGAACGACGCUGUCAAGUUUGGUGGCAUGCUAAUGGGUAAAGCUAAAAACCUUUCCCAGUGAGGCAACAUAUGAUCCCAAGUCAUGUGAAAUAUGUCUGGGUUGAUGAGAUAAAUUUGGAAAAUUGGAGAGAGUAUAAUAUUACGGAGAAUUACCUGCUACUUCUGGAAAAGUUUUAUUAAGCAUAAAUUUUGCAAAGAUCACUGCCAUUGUCGAUAUCCGGACAUGCAUGAGGGGGAACUGACUGGUGAUGGCAACGUCGAUCCCCGAAUGGAGCUCCAGGCUGGAUGUAUGAUUCUACCAAACCCAGCAUUUAACGCAUUGGCAGGCAUCCAUGUGUGUUUCAGCAUGUGGAGGCUAGAGAGGGAGGAG